UACGUAGGGUCCGAGCGUUGUCCGGAAUUAUUGGGCGUAAAGAGCUCGUAGGCGGCUCGUCGCGUCGACCGUGAAAACCCGCGGCUUAACUGCGGGCUUGCGGUUGAUACGGGCGGGCUAGAGUUCGGUAGGGGAGACUGGAAUUCCUGGUGUAGCGGUGAAAUGCGCAGAUAUCAGGAGGAACACCGGUGGCGAAGGCGGGUCUCUGGGCCGAUACUGACGCUGAGGAGCGAAAGCGUGGGGAGCGAACAGG
rnacentral:rRNA from 1 species